UUGCAUCAUUUUUUUUUCUUUUUUAAUUGCCUUGAAUCAAGAUUAGUGUUGUGGUGUAUCUUGUUGCGUUGUUCUGCAUUGGUGAUUUUCGUUGUAUCUUUUAUUGUAUAACGGAAAGAAAACUUAAAAGAAAACUAAUAGGACAAUGGUGUAUUGACAAAAUCCGAUAUGGAAACCAGGUUACUAGAAUAGAAACUUGUAUAUACUUUAUUUUUAUGAAACAAAAUGACAAAAUCUCUCACUAUACAAAGCCUUUCUCACCCUUUUACAAUACUCAAGGAUUUGUAUAGUAAAUCCUUGCAAUACUGAAGUAUGCUGUUUGGUAUUUACAUAGGAAAAGCAUUAUGUCUCCUAGAAUUUAAAUCAACAAAUACGAAAUUGGUGUGGAAAAAGUGGCGAA
rnacentral:lncRNA from 1 species